rnacentral:rRNA from 1 species
UGUGGUUUAAUUCGAUGCAACGCGAAGAACCUUACCUACACUUGACAUGCUGAGAAGUUACUAGAGAUAGUUUCGUGCCUUCGGGAACUCAGACACAGGUGCUGCAUGGCUGUCGUCAGCUCGUGUCGUGAGAUGCUGGGUUAAGUCCCGCAACGAGCGCAACCCUUGUCCUUAGUUGCCAGCAUUAAGUUGGGCACUCUAAGGAGACUGCCGGUGACAAACCGGAGGAAGGUGGGGA